AAUCUGCCUUCAGGAUGGGGACAACAAUUGGAAACGAUUGCUAAUACCCGAUAUGACGAAAGUUGAAAGAUUUAUCGCCUGGAGACGAGCUCGCGUCAGAUUAGCUAGAUGGUGUGGUAAAGGCGCACCAUGGCGACGAUCUGUAGCUGGUCUGAGAGGAUGAGCAGCCACACUGGGACUGAGACACGGCCCAGACUCCUACGGGAGGCAGCAGUGGGGAAUUUUCCGCAAUGGGCGCAAGCCUGACGGAGCAAUACCGCGUGAGG
rnacentral:rRNA from 1 species